CCUACGGGUGGCAGCAGUGAGGAAUAUUGGUCAAUGGACGAGAGUCUGAACCAGCCAAGUAGCGUGAAGGAUGACUGCCCUAUGGGUUGUAAACUUCUUUUAUAUGGGAAUAAAACGUUCCACGUGUGGGAUUUUGUAUGUACCAUAUGAAUAAGGAUCGGCUAACUCCGUGCCAGCAGCCGCGGUAAUACGGCGGGUCCGAGCGUUAUCCGGAUUUAUUGGGUUUAAAGGGAGCGUAGGGGGAUUGUUAAGUCAGUUGUGAAAGUUUGCGGCUCAACCGUAAAAUUGCAGUUGAAACUGGCAGUCUUGAGUACAGUAGAGGUGGGCGGAAUUCGUGGUGUAGCGGUGAAAUGCUUAGAUAUCACGAAGAACUCCGAUUGCGAAGGCAGUUCACUGGACUGCAACCGACACUGAGGCUCGAAAGUGUGGGUAUCAAACAGGAUUAGAUACCCUUGUAGUC
rnacentral:rRNA from 1 species